rnacentral:rRNA from 1 species
UGGAGAGUUUGAUCCUGGCUCAGGGUGAACGCUGGCGGCAUGCCUAAUACAUGCAAGUCGAGGGAGAAUCCGCCUCCGGGCGGAGGAGACCGGCGAACGGGUGAGUAACACGUUGGUAUCUACCCCGAAGACAGGGAUAGCCCCGGGAAACCGGGAUUAAUACCUGAUAGCCUCCAGUACUUAGUAGUGGAAUUUUCAACGGGCGAUUUCCAAGCUUUCAUUUACCCCGAGUGUUUGGAAAUUGGAAACCCGUAUUGGAAAUUUCAGACCAAGUAUUGGAGGAAAGCUCCGGCGCUUCGGGAGGAGCCUGCGGGUGAUUAGCUGGUUGGUAAGGUAACGGCUUACCAAGGCGAUGAUCACUAGCUGAUUUGAGAGGAUGAUCAGCCACAUUGGGACUGAGACACGGCCCAAACUCCUACGGGAGGCUGCAGUAGGGAAUCUUCCACAAUGGGCGAAAGCCUGAUGGAGCAAUGCCGCGUGCAGGAUGAAGGCUCUCGGGUCGUAAACUGCUUUUCUGGCCGAAGAAUAUGACGGUAGGCCAGGAAUAAGCCUUGGCUAACUCCGUGCCAGCAGCCGCGGUAAUACGGAGAAGGCGAGCGUUACCCGGAAUUACUGGGCGUAAAGCGUUGCGCAGGCGGAUAUGUAAGUGAAAUGUGAAAUCCCGCGGCUCAACCGCGGGCGUAUAUUUCAAACUACAUAUCUAGAGGGCAGUAGAGGUGAGCGGAAUUGCUUAUGUAGGAGUGAUAUCCGUAGAUAUGAGCAAGAACACCAAUGGCGAAGGCAGCUCACUGGGCUGACCCUGACGCUGAGGCACGAAAGCGUGGGGAGCGAACCGGAUUAGAUACCCGGGUAGUCCACGCCGUAAACGAUGGAUGCUAGCUGUUGGGGAGUAUCGACCCUCCUCAGUAGCAAAGCUAACGCGUUAAGCAUCCCGCCUGGGGAGUACGGCCGCAAGGCUAAAACUCAAAGGAAUUGACGGGGACCCGCACAAGCGGUGGAGCGUGUGGUUUAAUCCGAUGAUACGCGCAGAAUCUUACCCAGACUUGACAUCCUGGUCGUAGUUCUUAGAGAUAAGAACGUCAGUCCGGCUGGACCAGUGACAGGUGAUGCAUGGCCGUCGUCAGCUCGUGUCGUGAGAUGUCAGCUUAAGUGCUUUAACGAGCGCAACCCUCAUGGUUCGUUGGACUUUUCUAACCAGACUGCCUCGGCAACGGGGAGGAAGGAGGGGAUGACGUCAGGUCGGCAUGUCCCUUACGUCUGGGGCAACACACACGCUACAAUGGCCGGUACAACGGGAAGCGAAGUCGCGAGACGGAGCCAAACCCACUCAAAGCCGGUCCCAGUUCGGAUUGGAGGCUGAAACCCGCCUCCAUGAAGUCGGAAUCGCUAGUAACCGUAGGUCAGCACACUGCGGUGAAUACGUUCUCGGGUCUUGUACACACCGCCUGUCACAUCACGAAAGCUGUCAAUGUCCGAAGUCCUGCCAUAGGUGUAGGCCGAAGACAGGGGCAGUGAUUGGGGUGAAGUCCUA